GAUGAAGAACGUAGCGAAAUGCGAUAAGUAAUGUGAAUUGCAGAAUUCAGUGAAUCAUCGAAUCUUUGAACGCACCUUGCGCCCUUUGGCUAUUCCGAAGGGCAUGCCUGUUUGAGUAUCGUGAACACCUCAACUCUCAUGGUUUGCCAUGAUGAGCUUGGACUUUGGGGGUUUUGCUGGCCUUUGGUCGGCUCCUCUCAAACGGAUCAGCUUUCCAGUGUUUGGUGGCGUCACGGGUGUGAUAACUAUCUACGCCUGUGGUUUUCUGCCAGAUAACCUUCAGCGAUGGAGGUUCGCUGGGGCUCAUAAAUGUCUCUCUUCAGUGGAGACAGCUUUUUGGACGUUUGAUCUCAAAUCAGGUAGGACUACCCGCUGAACUUAAGCAUAUCAAUAAGAGGAGGA
rnacentral:misc_RNA from 1 species